GCAGUGGUUAAGACAUUAAAUAAUAAAUGAGAAUGCUGCAUAAAAUCAGAAUGCAACCUAGAAUGCUAGCACAGUAAAUUCUGUUUAUUCACAGGGUUGCAAAUUAUGAAAAAAAGACAAAAAAGAAAGUCGUUAAGUUAUCCUGUUGUAAAACUAAGACUUUGUGUACAUUGCGCAAUAAGGGGCAACACUUAAAGGUAGGUCACACCAAAAGCCGGCCGCGUCUUCCGGCGCCUUCGCCUUGGUGACUCUGGAUAACUUUGCGGUAUCUCUCUGUCUACCACCGGCGACGGAUCAUUCAAGUGUCUGCCCUAUCCACUUUCGUCGGUGCGGUAUUUGCCUACCGAGGUUCUUACGGGUGACGGGGAAUCACGGCUCGAUUCCGGAGAGGGAGCCUGAGAAACGGCUCCCACAUCCAAGGAAGGC
rfam:Ciona savignyi cont_23059, whole genome shotgun sequence.